ACAGAGACACAUGCGCACUGG
rnacentral:misc_RNA from 1 species